AUGUGGCUGGUGGUUCAUAAACGUUGUCUAACGGCGGAUAAUCUUCAGAGGCGCGGCUGGCCAUCUAACACAACAUGUCCGCUUUGCUUGGCUGAACCAGAGGACUGUACGCAUCUCUUUGUAAACUGCAGAUUCACGCAGCAGUUAUGGCACCCGUUCUGGCAAUGGACGGGUGUAUUCUUCGCCAUUCCUGAUAGCAGAUUUAGCUACAUCGAAGACUGGUGGUUGUCAGCCAGGAAAGAGAUCCCCAAGCCAGACCGGCGUAACUUCGACACCGUUGCUAUCCUGGUGCACUGGAGGGUGUGGAAGGAAAGGAAUGCCAGGAUCUUUGAACACAAAGCAAGCAGCGUCGAUCAAGUGCUAGAUCUGAUCAGGGAUGACAUUGCCGUGCGGAGAGCAGCUGGGUGUGUUUCGGACCUAGCAGCCUGA
rnacentral:rRNA from 1 species